GACGAACGCUGGCGGCGUGCUUAACACAUGCAAGUCGAACGGAAAGGCCCUGCUUGCAGGGUACUCGAGUGGCGAACGGGUGAGUAACACGUGGGUGAUCUGCCCUGCACUUCGGGAUAAGCCUGGGAAACUGGGUCUAAUACCGGAUAGGAGCCAGUUUUAGUGUGAUGGUUGGAAAGUUUUUUCGGUGUAGGAUGAGCUCGCGGCCUAUCAGCUUGUUGGUGGGGUAAUGGCCUACCAAGGCGGCGACGGGUAGCCGGCCUGAGAGGGUGGACGGCCACAUUGGGACUGAGAUACGGCCCAGACUCCUACGGGAGGCAGCAGUGGGGAAUAUUGCACAAUGGGCGUAAGCCUGAUGCAGCGACGCCGCGUGGGGGAUAACGGCCUUCGGGUUGUAAACUCCUUUCGCUAGGGACGAAGCUUUUUGUGACGGUACCUAGAUAAGAAGCACCGGCUAACUACGUG
rnacentral:rRNA from 1 species